UACGUAGGUGGCAAGCGUUGUCCGGAUUUACUGGGCGUAAAGGGCGUGCAGGCGGUUUGUCUAGUCUAGGGUGAAAGCUCCCGGCUUAACUGGGAGAGGUCCUUGGAUACUGGCAAACUUGAGGGAGGCAGAGGAAAGUGGAAUUCCCGGUGUAGUGGUGAUAUGCGUAGAUAUCGGGAGGAACACCAGUGGCGAAGGCGGCUUUCUGGGCCUUACCUGACGCUGAGACGCGAAAGCGUGGGGAAGCGAACCGGG
rnacentral:rRNA from 1 species